rnacentral:rRNA from 1 species
UUCGAGUGGCGGACGGGUGAGUAACGCGUGGGUAACCUGCCUUACACAGGGGGAUAACACCUGGAAACAGGUGCUAAUACCGCAUAAGCGCACAGGGCCGCAUGGCCCGGUGUGAAAAACUCCGGUGGUGUAAGAUGGACCCGCGUCUGAUUAGCUUGUUGGCGGGGUAGGGGCCCACCAAGGCGACGAUCAGUAGCCGGACUGAGAGGUUGGCCGGCCACAUUGGGACUGAGAUACGGCCCAGACUCCUACGGAAGGCAGCAG